rnacentral:rRNA from 1 species
CGUCUAUAUACGUAUAGCAUAUCAAUAAGCGGAGGAAAAGAAACUAACUAGGAUUCCCUCAGUAACGGCGAGUGAAGCGGGAAGAGCUCAUAUUUGAAAUCUUCAAGGUUCUACCUUGACGAAUUGUAGUUUAAAGAAGUGUUCUCUGUUGGAGUUUUGGUAAAAGUUCUUUGGAAUAGGACAUCAUAGAGGGUGAGAAUCCCGUAUUUGACCAUUAUUUCCAACUUUGUGAUACACUUUCAAAGAGUCGGAUUGUUUGGGAAUGCAGUCCAAAAUGGGUGGUAAAUUUCAUCUAAAGCUAAAUACUGGCGAGAGACCGAUAGCGAACAAGUACCGUGAGGGAAAGAUGAAAAGAACUUUGAAAAGAGAGUUAAACAGUACGUGAAAUUGUCAAAAGGGAAGCGUUUGACACCAGUGUUGUUUUCUCGAAAAUCAAUUAAAAAUGGCAGGAUUUUGUGUUGUAUUGACUUUAUCAGCUUUCUGCACUUUUUUCUUGUCUUUUUUAAUGCACUUUUCGUUUAACAAGUCAACAUCAAUUUCUUUUGUUGUAAAAGAGUCAUUGGAAGGUGGCUUUCUUUUCGGAGAAAGUGUUUAUAGCCUUUGACUUCUGCAAGUCGGAGAGAUUGAGGUCUGCAGCGUAGAUCCUUCGGGGUUAGAUGCAUUUGUGCUAAGUUAUAGCCUUUCAUAGACAACUUGUUGACUAUGAUCAGUCAUGUAGCUUACUCGCUUAUGUCUAUUUUACCUACGCUUAGGAUGUUGACGAUCAGCUGAGCGCG